CCUACGGGUGGCAGCAGUGAGGAAUAUUGGUCAAUGGGCGGGAGCCUGAACCAGCCAAGCCGCGUGAGGGAAGACGGUACAGCGUAUCGUAAACCUCUUUUGUCAGGGAACAAAGGCGGCGACUAGUCCCCUGAUGAGGGUAACUGAAAAAAAAGCAUCGGCUGACUCCGUGCCAGCCGCCGCCGUAAUACGGGGGAUGCGAGCGUUAUCCGGAUUUAUUGGGUUUAAAGGGUGCGCAGGCGGACUGUUCAGUCAGCGGUAAAAACCCGGGGCUCAACCCCGGCGAGCCGUUGAAACUGGCGGGCUGGAGUUGGAGAGAAGUACGCGGAAUGCGCGGUGUAGCGGUGAAAUGCUUAGAUAUCGCGCAGAACCCCGAUUGCGAAGGCAGCGUACCGGCUCCACACUGACGCUGAGGCACGAAAGCGUGGGUAUCGAACAGGAUUAGAUACCCCUGUAGUC
rnacentral:rRNA from 1 species